rnacentral:rRNA from 1 species
UACGGAGGAUCCAAGCGUUGUCCGGAUUUAUUGGGUUUAAAGGGUGCGUAGGCGGAUAAUUUAAGUCAGUGGUGAAAUCUUGCGGCUCAACCGUAAAAUUGCCAUUGAAACUGACUUAUCUUGAGUACAGUUGAGGUGGCGGAAUGUAUCAUGUAGCGGUGGAAAUGCUUAGAUAUGAUACAGAACACCGUAUUGCGAAAGCAUGCUCACUAAACUGCAAACUGGCGCUGAGGCACGAAGCGUGGGGAUCAAACAGGAAUAGACGUACCCCAGUAAGUCCG